rnacentral:rRNA from 1 species
UACGGAGGGAGCUAGCGUUGUUCGGAAUUACUGGGCGUAAAGCGCGCGUAGGCGGCUUUGUAAGUUAGAGGUGAAAGCCCGGAGCUCAACUCCGGAACUGCCUUUAAGACUGCAUCGCUUGAAUCCAGGAGAGGUGAGUGGAAUUCCGAGUGUAGAGGUGAAAUUCGUAGAUAUUCGGAAGAACACCAGUGGCGAAGGCGGCUCACUGGACUGGUAUUGACGCUGAGGUGGCGAAAAGCGUGGGGAGCAACAGG